rnacentral:rRNA from 1 species
GAUCAUGGCUCAGAACGAACGCUGGCGGCAUGCCUAACACAUGCAAGUCGAACGAGACCUUCGGGUCUAGUGGCGCACGGGUGCGUAACGCGUGGGAACCUGCCUUAGGUUCGGAAUAACUCAGAGAAAUUCGAGCUAAUACCGGAUAAUGUCUUCGGACCAAAGAUUUAUCGCCUUUAGAUGGGCCCGCGUAAGAUUAGCUAGUUGGUGGGGUAAAGGCCUACCAAGGCGACAAUCUUUAGCUGGUCUGAGAGGAUGAUCAGCCACACUGGGACUGAGACACGGCCCAGACUCCUACGGGAGGCAGCAGUGGGGAAUAUUGGACAAUGGGCGAAAGCCUGAUCCAGCAAUGCCGCGUGAGUGAUGAAGGCCUUAGGGUUGUAAAGCUCUUUUACCCGAGAUGAUAAUGACAGUAUCGGGAGAAUAAGCUCCGGCUAACUCCGUG